ensembl:lncRNA
ACGGAUCUUUGUUGGCAAAGUAAUGUCUCUACUUUUUAAUAUGCUGUCUAGGUUGGUCAUAAAUUUUCUUCCAAGGAGCAAACGUCUUAAUUUCACGGCUGCAGUCACCAUCUGCAAUGAUAGUGGAGCCAAAACAAUAAAGUCUGUCACUGUUUCCAUUGUUUCCCCAUCUAUUUGCUAUGAAGCGAUGGGACCAGAUGCCACAAUCUUAGUUUUUUUGAAUGUUGAGUUUUAAGCCAAGAUUUUCACUCUCCUCUUUCACUUUCAUCAAGAGGCAAACCAUUCAAUAUCACAGUUAUCCAAGUCUAUGCCCCAACCAGUAACACUGAAGAAACUGAAGUUGAACGGUUCUAUGAAGACCUACAAGAUCUUUUAGAACUAACACCCAAAAAAGAUGUCCUUUUCAUUAUAGGGGACUGGAAUGCAAAAGUAGGAAGUCAAGAAACACCUGGAGUAACAGGCAAAUUUGGCCUUGGAAUGCGGAAUGAAGCAGGGCAAAGACUAAUAAAGAAAAUGCACUGGUCCUAGCAAACACCCUCUUCCAACAACACAAGAAAAGACUCUACACAUGGACAUCACCAGAUGGUCAACACCAAAAUCAGAUUGAUUAUAUUCUUUGCAGCCAAAGAUGGAGAAGCUCUAUACAGUCAACAAAAACAAGACUGUGGCUCAGAUCAUGAACUCCUUAUUGCCAAAUUCAGACUUAAAUUGAAGAAAGUAGGGAAAACCACUAGACCAUUCAGGUAUGACCUAAAUCAAAUCCCUUAUGAUUAUACAGUGGAAGUGAGAAGGGUCUAGAUCUGAUAGAUAGAGUGCCUGAUGAACUAUGGAAUAAGGUUCAUGAUGUUGUACAGGAGACAGGGAUCAAGACCAUCCCCAUGGAAAAGAAAUGCAAAAAAGCAAAAUGGCUGUCUGGGGAGGCCUUACAAAUAGCUGUGAAAAGAAGAGAGGUGAAAAGCAAAGGAGAAAAGGAAAGAUAUAAGCAUCUGAAUGCAGAGUUCCAAAGAAUAGCAAGGAGAGAUAAGAAAGCCUUCUUCAGUGAUCAAUGCAAAGAAAUAGAGGAAAACAACAGAAUGGGAAAGACUAGAGAUCUCUUCAAGAAAAUUGGAGAUACCAGGGGAACAUUUCAUGCAAAGAUGGGCUUGAUAAAGGACAGAAAUGGUAUGGACCUAACAGAAGCAGAAGUUAUUAAGAAGAGGUGGCAAGAAUACACGGAAGAACUGUACAAAAAAGAUCUUCACGACCCAGAUAAUCAUGAUGAGUGAUCUCACCAUCGUGGUUAUCUGGGUCACUAAGCUCAGCCAAGCAGCUGACCCGCCUGCUUCGCGCUUAGAUGUGUGGGACUCUGGUUUGGGGAAGGCUUUGGUUUGCUCUGCCUGCUGCCGUGUUGGCCCUGAACCCAACUAUGAAGGACAGUAUUUAGGACAGUAUUUAGGUGUGCCUUUGGCUAUGCAGGUGUUUUUUUUUUUUUUUUUCUGAUUUACGGGGUUGGGGGGGGUGGUCCACUCUCAGGAGAGGGCCUGGUGGCUGGACAGGGAACAAGGACACUGGUGUGGCCUUCUUUGUGGUCUUAGUGACUCAGGAACAAGGCAAGCGUCUUGAUCUUUUUCCUGGCUCAUAAACCAAGUUUAUGGGGUACUCUCUUUGGAUUUGCAAUGGGCUAGAAGGGCUGCUGUGGGGGCAGCUCUCAGGGUGGCCCUGGGGAGCCUGGAACCUGCAGCCCUGGAUUUGUGUUGGGGACCCCCGUGAGAAAGUAGGCUUGUACUUGGGCAGGGUGAGUGCCACCCUGGGGCCUGUGUGCUUUGUCUAGAGGGCAG